rnacentral:rRNA from 1 species
GACGAACGCUGGCGGCGUGCCUAAUACAUGCAAGUCGAGCGGACGGAUGGGAGCUUGCUCCCAGACCGUCAGCGGCGGACGGGUGAGUAACACGUGGGCAACCUGCCUGUAAGACUGGGAUAACUCCGGGAAACCGGGGCUAAUACCGGAUAACUCUUUCCCUCACAUGAGGGAAAGCUGAAAGAUGGCAUCUCGCUAUCACUUACAGAUGGGCCCGCGGCGCAUUAGCUAGUUGGUGAGGUAACGGCUCACCAAGGCGACGAUGCGUAGCCGACCUGAGAGGGUGAUCGGCCACACUGGGACUGAGACACGGCCCAGACUCCUACGGGAGGCAGCAGUAGGGAAUCUUCCGCAAUGGACGAAAGUCUGACGGAGCAACGCCGCGUGAGUGAUGAAGGUUUUCGGAUCGUAAAACUCUGUUGUCAGGGAAGAACAAGUACCGGAGUAACUGCCGGUACCUUGACGGUACCUGACCAGAAAGCCACGGCCAACUACGUG